UACCCCGUUGCUCUCAAGGUAAUCUAGACAGACGCAGCUGAAAGCCUGAAUCUUAUGCCUUAGACAUCAAAGCAAGCUCGCACAAAGAAGUAUUUCUUCACAACGGUGAAUCUUCAUGGGCACUUGUUCCAGACGAUAAUAAAAAUGGAUAAGACUGUCAGGAAGAAAAGGCCCGCUUGAACCGUCGCCUCAGCUCACUUUUGUUUCUGCUUUCUGCCGGGAUCAGAGAAUGCGUUUGGGAUUUGAGAGCGAGUUUCUAAAGGCAAGGAAAUGGUUUUUAAGGGGGAAAAGAAAAGGAGAAAGGUCUAAUCAAGCUCGGGUUGUUCAAAGGGUCUGAUUUUGGGGUUGAAAGUGUGAGUUUUAUGGUGCAUCAGCAUGCCACGUUAGGAUCGCUAUGGUAAUGAGGAGAGCAAUAGCAAGCGGCCUUCAAAGGAGGCACACUCCAUUUGAGACAGUCUAUUAAGAUACAUUUGCACUGACCUUUGGUUUCAUGCUAGCUUAAUACACUCAAUCUGCUCCCUGCUAGAGAUAUACUUCCUCCACCUAAUGCACUUCGGCGGAAUUGGGGUUUGCUGGGCUUUUCCCUCCCCCGAGCCGGGCUCUGCUGCGGUGCUGUAGCCCCGCUCUCCUUCUCUCCAGAGUAAGGGGCUGCCAGCCAGGCUCGGGGCGAGCUCUCGUUGCCUCUCCCCAGCGUUUCUGCCCAGAUUCUCGUUGAAAAACCCGGCCACAAAGCCCGAGAAGUGUUUCCCUCUCCUCCCCGCCACCCCUCGCAGGGGAAGGUAGUCUGGGGACCAAAAGAGACAUCCUUGGGCUGCCUCAGCCCCAGGGACUAGGUGUGCUGAUGGAGGUCCCCCAGGACCCGGGAAAGGGGGCGAGGGCCAGGGGCAGCUGCCCGUGCCCCCCUUCCCUUCCCACCCCACCCUGGCUGGCCGGCGCUGCGCAGCGGCGAGCGGAGGCUCCGUGGUGCGGGGGAACUUGACACCCGCACGACCGGGGCCAUGGGCGCUGGGCCAUGGGCCCGGGAAAGUUAGAAGUCCAUGUUCCAGUAAUUGUCUUGUUGUUUAUUUUAUCCAAGUACCCUAGUGAAUAGGGGAAAAAUAAACACGAUGAAAAAAAAUUCAAACAGUUGAGUCGUCUUUAGUGCCAGCCCUUGUGGUUGAAUAAAAAGGAUGGUCCAAUUUCUAUUGAGCUGAGAAAUCUUUGAAGUGGGAGUUAUUAUCUGAGAAAUUCCUGCUCGUCGUCCUAACAACGCUGAUGAAACGUAAAAGGUUCUUUGUCAGCGAUUUGUUCUCCUCUCUGUCAAACUCACCCUGCCCGUUAGAUUUAAACCGUUUCUAAAGAGAUAAAAUCAAACUUUUAAAGAUAACUUUAGGGGCCCAGAGGGUGCAGAAAAUACCAAACUACCGAAUCCUGUGUAUAGACAUACAUCUGGAUAUAUGUGGCUGUAUCUGUGUGAAACUCUGUCUGUGUACAGACCUCCAUAGAUGUCUGUAUGACCUUACUGUUCGAAAGUUGAAAUGAUGUCCAUUUUUUUGCAUUUUAUCCUCUGAACUUUUACGUCUAAUAAAUUAUUCCUACACAUAUGCUGCACAGAAUGCGGUUCUUGGGAGAGGGCAGAAAUGUUGGCUUUCAUUAACACCAGUAUGUGACCAACAAACGUUUUCUUUCCAGUAGAGUGAAAGCAAGAGCAUAGACAUAAGAGUAAAGGCUUUGAUCAUUUUAACAGUCCGAAUACCUAUUAAGCAUGUAUAUACUGCAAUGUAUCGAAGUUGUUAACGCAUUCAAAGCGAUGGCUUCCAUAUGCUCUCAUGUUUUAUUGUCCGUAAGUGUAAAGAUAGUCAAACUGCAUCCCUUUUGUAUCUUCAUUUUAUAAACAUCAUGGUGUAUACUGAAAUGAUUCCCUGAUCAAGAUUUAUUUAGUAGUUUCUCAUUAGGGAUCAUGCAAUGCUCUGUUCGUAACGCGAAUUCCUUGAAGUUGUAACUCAUCAGUGUGCUUCUGUUUUAGUUGCUACAGAAUGAUCUGAGCCCAAUCCUGCCAUUCUAAGCAACCCCAUUAAUUUAAUGGGACUUUUCCUGAGUAAAGACCGAGUCAAACUGCAGUGGAGUGGGUAUUAUUAUUAUUAUUGUUAUUGUUAUUAUUAAUUCUGGGUCUUGGCAUAUUUAUGGGAAAAUCUACCACAUUCCUUGUGAACUGUACAGAGGAGAACCCUCUGAAAAUGUAGCUCGCAAAAAACAUUUGCAAUGUUGAUAUGUUGUAUCACUUUCCAGACAUCUUAUAUUCCAUAUUUCCCUUCAUCACAUGUUUGGUAAUGAAGGAAUGUUCUGUUGUGAGUUUGAACAUACUAUUUAUUUUUUAAUAUUUGGAUUUUUUUACAAUAAAUAUUUAUAAACGUUUCGAUUCUAUGGUUAUUUUUUAAAAUGUGCACUUUUAAAAUAUGUGUUUGUACUGAUGAUACCAAGCCAUUCCUAAAACACUGUGUAAUCAACCCUGUCUUUCUGUUGACUUUUAUAUUAGUUGAAAAAAAUUUCCCCAAAGCCGUGUACUUUUAAUGUGGUGUACAAUCAAGUACUAAUCAGUGGUUUUUGUUGGUCUUUAACCUCUUUAAUGUUAAUCGUUUUAGGUUGGCAUUUGCAUUAAAAGGACAAAACAAAACA